rnacentral:rRNA from 1 species
UACGGAGGGUGCAAGCGUUGCUCGGAAUUAUUGGGCGUAAAGGGUAGGUAGGUGGUCUCAUUUGUCUGGGGUGAAAGCCUUGGGCUUAACUCAAGAAGUGCCCCAGAAACGGUGAGACUAGAGUCCUAGAGAGGGUCGUGGAAUUCCCGGUGUAGCGGUGAAAUGCGUAGAGAUCGGGAGGAACACCGGUGGCGAAGGCGGCUCACUGGCCCAUUACUGACGCUGAGGCACGAAAGCGUGGGGAGCAAACAGG